rnacentral:tRNA from 1 species
CAGAAAAUAGUUUAGUGGAGAAUUCUAGCUUUGGGUGCUAGGGGUGAAAGUUGAAAUCUUUCUUUUCUGA